rnacentral:rRNA from 1 species
GUGGGGAAUCUUCCACAAUGGACGAAAGUCUGAUGGAGCAACGCCGCGUGAGUGAAGAAGGUUUUCGAAUCGUAAAGCUCUGUUGUCAGGGACGAAUGUUGAGACCGAGAAUAUUGGUUUCAAAUGACGGUACCUGACGAGGAAGCCACGGCUAACUACGUGCCAGCAGCCGCGGUAAUACGUAGGUGGCGAGCGUUGUCCGGAAUUAUUGGGCGUAAAGGGAGCGCAGGUGGGCUGUCAAGUCUGUCUUAAAAGUGCGGGGCUUAACCCCGUGAUGGGAUCGAAACUAUCUUUCUUGAGUGCAGGAGAGGAAAGUGGAAUUCCUAGUGUAGCGGUGAAAUGCGUAGAUAUUAGGAGGAACACCAGUGGCGAAGGCGACUUUCUGGACUGUAACUGACGCUGAGGCUCGAAAGCCAGGGGAGCGAACGGGAUUAGAUACCCUGGUAGCC